rnacentral:rRNA from 1 species
UUUCCGUAGGGUGACCUGCGGAAGGAUCAUUACAGUAUUCUUUUGCCAGCGCUUAAUUGCGCGGCGAAAAACCUUACACACUAUGUUUUUUUAAUUUGAAACUAUUGCUUUGGUCUGGCUUAGAAAUAGGUUGGGCCAAAGGUUUUAUCAAAACUUCAAUAUUUAUUAUUGAAUUGUUAUUUUAAUUUUAUGUCAAUUUGUUGAUUAAUAUCAAAAAUCUUCAAAACUUUCAACAACGGAUCUCUUGGUUCUCGCAUCGAUGAAGAACGCAGCGAAAUGCGAUAAGUAAUAUGAAUUGCAGAUUUUCGUGAAUCAUCGAAUCUUUGAACGCACAUUGCGCCCUUUGGUAUUCCAAAGGGCAUGCCUGUUUGAGCGUCAUUUCUCUCUCAAAUCUUCGGAUUUGGUUUUGAGUGAUACUCUUAGUCAGACUAAGCGUUUGCUUGAAAUGUAUUGGCAUGAGUGGUACUAGAUAGUGCUGAACUGUUUUCAAUGUAUUAGGUUUAUCCAACUCAUUGUAUCAGUAAAGUAUUUGUUUAUUACACAGGCUCGGCCUUACAACAACAAACAAAGUUUGACCUCAAAUCAGGUAGGACUACCCGCUGAACUUAAGCAUAUCAAAGCCCGGA